UACAGUCAUUUUGAUGGUUGUAAAUUUAUUUAGCACACUCAUUUUUAUAUAUUUUUAUACUGUUUACCGUUUUUAACUCCUGUCCCAAUCUAACCUAGUGGGUUCAAAAAGAAGGGACCACGCUGGAAACAUGAGUGGAUUAAAAGGAUCAGCCCUAUUUGAAUUAAUAGUCAAAGUGGUAACCAGCUAGAAGUCGUAACCUGCUCGUAUGAAAGGAUUUCUCGACGUGUAAUUGUUAAUUUUAUUCAACAACGCCAAGAAACAGAGCUCGCUCAAGAAACA